AACGAACGCUGGCGGCAUGCCUAACACAUGCAAGUCGAACGAGACCUUCGGGUCUAGUGGCGCACGGGUGCGUAACGCGUGGGAACCUGCCCUUAGGUUCGGAAUAACUCCCCGAAAGGGGUGCUAAUACCGGAUAAUGUCUUCGGACCAAAGAUUUAUCGCCUCUGGAUGGGCCCGCGUUGGAUUAGCUAGUUGGUAGGGUAAAAGCCUACCAAGGCGACGAUCCAUAGCUGGUCUGAGAGGAUGAUCAGCCACACUGGGACUGAGACACGGCCCAGACUCCUACGGGAAGCAGCAGUGGGGAAUAUUGGACAAUGGGCGAAAGCCUGAUCCAGCAAUGCCGCGUGAGUGAUGAAGGCCUUAGGGUUGUAAAGCUCUUUUACCCGGGAUGAUAAUGACAGUACCGGGAGAAUAAGCUCCGGCUAACUCCGUG
rnacentral:rRNA from 1 species